AGUGAACGCUGGCGGUAGGCCUAACACAUGCAAGUCGAACGGCAGCACAGUAAGAGCUUGCUCUUACGGGUGGCGAGUGGCGGACGGGUGAGGAAUACAUCGGAAUCUACUUUUUCGUGGGGGAUAACGUAGGGAAACUUACGCUAAUACCGCAUACGACCUACGGGUGAAAGCAGGGGAUCUUCGGACCUUGCGCGAUUGAAUGAGCCGAUGUCGGAUUAGCUAGUUGGCGGGGUAAAGGCCCACCAAGGCGACGAUCCGUAGCUGGUCUGAGAGGAUGAUCAGCCACCCUGGAACUGGGACACGGUCCAGACUCCUACGGGAGGCAGCAGUGGGGAAUAUUGGACAAUGGGCGCAAGCCUGAUCCAGCCAGACCGCGUGGGUGAAGAAGGCCUUCGGGUUGUAAAGCCCUUUUGUUGGGAAAGAAAAGCAGCAGGUUAAUACCCCGCUGUUCGGACGGUACCCAAAGAAUAAGCACCGGCUAACUUCGU
rnacentral:rRNA from 1 species